UACGAAGGGGGCAAGCGUUGUUCGGAAUCAUUGGGCGUAAAGCGCGUGUAGGCGGUCUAUUAAGUCGAGUGUGAAAUCCCUGGGCUCAACCGAGGAAGUGCAUUCGAAACUAAUAAACUAGAAGAUGGUAGAGGAUGGUGGAAUUCCAGGUGUAGAGGUGAAAUUCGUAGAUAUCUGGAGGAAUACCGGUGGCGAAGGCGGCCAUCUGGGCCAUUCUUGACGCUGAGACGCGAAAGCGUGGGUAGCAAACAGG
rnacentral:rRNA from 1 species